GGCAGGAUGGCUACAGCAACGACGGCGGCGAAUAUUCGGGAAUCCUGCACUUUUAAAAGUAUAUCAUGAGGAGAACAAACCAAUAUGAUCUGGAUUCCAGCUGUUCGGGAGCAACAUAGUGGCUGUUUGUCUGAGAUAAUACAAGUCAUGCUGGGGUAUAUUCAUUUAGUUUCACUUAACAUGAGGAAUCCAGUGGCUACAGCGCCACUCACCUUUAACGUGUUGACGGGAGAGCGGCUGCCGACAUAGACCGUGUGUCUCCUCCUCCUCCUCCUCCGGCGGAUCUGCACUGAGCAACUGCGGCCGACAGAGACGAUGGAGCGGCCGACGAUGCCACACUGCUCGGACGGUCACGUGACGCGGGGGGAAGCUCCGGCUUGUUACGUGACACAAUUCGCUGAGGAGGUGGUGACGCGGUGCUUCUUCUAACGUGGGGACACGAGAGGCUACAGUGCAAGUUAAAUGUCUGUAUUCAGUGGCUUUGCAGUAAGAAUUACAGCAAGAGAAAGAAUUCGGUUAGACCAGGCUGAAUGAUGACAGUGACAGUCAUGUGGUCUAUUAUCAAAGACAUGACUGUCACUGUCACAUACACACUCGCUUUGAUUCAAAGGCGUGAGGUUCAUGUACCCUAGUGCCAUAUACUGUUACUUGAUUUCUCCAUAAGACAAUCUUGUUGCACAAAAGAUUUCGCCUCUACACUUCUCCGUUGCUUUUAAUUUAGUAAUUAAGUGUUUGAGGGCGAAAAAAUUAAUUCAGUAUCCCUUGUGAAAAGCCAAGAUUCAAGAGACAUUUUUUGAAAAACUAA